rfam:Triticum aestivum genome assembly, contig: Triticum_aestivum_CS42_TGACv1_scaffold_306619_4AS
UCCUCAGUAGCUCAGUGGUAGAGUAGUCAACUGUUAACUGACUGGUCGUACGUUCCAAUACUACUUGGGGAG